rnacentral:rRNA from 1 species
UACGUAGGGGGGCAAGCGUUGUCCGGAUUUAUUGGGCGUAAAGAGCGUGUAGGCGGUUUGGUAGGUCCGCUGUGAAAACUCGAGGCUCAACCUCGAGACGCCGGUGGAAACCAUCAGGCUAGAGUCCGGAAGAGGAGAGUGGAAUUCCUGGUGUAGCGGUGAAAUGCGCAGAUAUCAGGAAGAACACCCGUGGCUAAGGCGGCUCUCUAGUACGGUACUGGACGCUGAGACGCGAAAGCGUGGGGAGCGAACAGG